GACGAACGCUGGCGGCGUGCCUAAUACAUGCAAGUAGAACGCUGAAGCUUGGUGCUUGCACCGAGCGGAUGAGUUGCGAACGGGUGAGUAACGCGUAGGUAACCUGCCUGGUAGCGGGGGAUAACUAUUGGAAACGAUAGCUAAUACCGCAUAACAGUAGAUGUUGCAUGACAUUUGCUUAAAAGGUGCAAUUGCAUCACUACCAGAUGGACCUGCGUUGUAUUAGCUAGUUGGUGGGGUAACGGCUCACCAAGGCGACGAUACAUAGCCGACCUGAGAGGGUGAUCGGCCACACUGGGACUGAGACACGGCCUAGACUCCUACGGGAGGCAGCAGUAGGGAAUCUUCGGCAAUGGACGGAAGUCUGACCGAGCAACGCCGCGUGAGUGAAGAAGGUUUUCGGAUCGUAAAGCUCUGUUGUAAGAGAAGAACGAGUGUGAGAGUGGAAAGUUCACACUGUGACGGUAUCUUACCAGAAAGGGACGGCUAACUACGUGCCAGCAGCCGCGGUAAUACGUAGGUCCCGAGCGUUGUCCGGAUUUAUUGGGCGUAAAGCGAGCGCAGGCGGUUAGAUAAGUCUGAAGUUAAAGGCUGUGGCUUAACCAUAGUACGCUUUGGAAACUGUUUAACUUGAGUGCAAGAGGGGAGAGUGGAAUUCCAUGUGUAGCGGUGAAAUGCGUAGAUAUAUGGAGGAACACCGGUGGCGAAAGCGGCUCUCUGGCUUGUAACUGACGCUGAGGCUCGAAAGCGUGGGGAGCAAACAGG
rnacentral:rRNA from 1 species